UUGAACGCUGGCGGCAUGCCUUACACAUGCAAGUCGAGCGGCAGCGCGGACUUCGGUCUGGCGGCGAGUGGCGAACGGGUGAGUAAUACAUCGGAACGUACCCUGUUGUGGGGGAUAACUAGUCGAAAGAUUAGCUAAUACCGCAUACGACCUGAGGGUGAAAGUGGGGGACCGGAAACGGCCUCAUGCAGCAGGAGCGGCCGAUGUCUGAUUAGCUAGUUGGUGGGGUAAAGGCCCACCAAGGCGACGAUCAGUAGCUGGUCUGAGAGGACGAUCAGCCACACUGGGACUGAGACACGGCCCAGACUCCUACGGGAGGCAGCAGUGGGGAAUUUUGGACAAUGGGGGCAACCCUGAUCCAGCAAUGCCGCGUGUGUGAAGAAGGCCUUCGGGUUGUAAAGCACUUUUGUCCGGAAAGAAAUCGCGCUGGUUAAUACCUGGCGUGGAUGACGGUACCGGAAGAAUAAGCACCGGCUAACUACGUG
rnacentral:rRNA from 1 species